AUGGCCACGGGGGACAUUUCACUUGACUUUGCCUGCAUCCAAGGUUCCAGCCUUUAUGUGUGGUCAAGGAAGGUGGAUACUGAAGAACCUGCAGGGUAGGUACAGCACAGGGUAGUUGAGCUAGAGAAAAUUAUACCUGUUGCCAAUCACAAUGACGAUUCAAUUGUUGUUGGGUCUGCAGAAGGUGUGGGUCUCAUGUUCGUUAGCACAGAUGUUGGCAUAUUUAUGAUCAAGCUCAAUCCUUGACAGCUUAAGAAGGUUUACGAGCCUGGGUUCUACUUGAGCGUCCUACCCUACAUAAGCCUGUACGCUCCAGGUACGAUACUGACCCUUGCUUGUCUGUUCUCAUGCAUUUUUCUUUACAACUUCUGA
rnacentral:rRNA from 1 species